UGGGGAUAAGUGAAUAAUGAAAAAAUUUUCAUUUUGGGAUGUAGUAUCCCUUUAAGAUUUCAGAUUUUUUUGAGAAUGUAUUGGAUAUAUUUACAGGAAUGUUUCAGGUUCUGUGACAUGGUGUUGAAAAUAUUUUCAACCCAACCAGUCUCUUGAGAAAAUGUAACUAUUUUUAUGAGGUAUAGUGAUUUUGUAUGAAUGUCAUUAGGGCAGAAACGUGUUUUUUAGAAAGAAAAAAAGCACGUUUUUGUUUCACCAUCAAUUCGAAGAUCCAUGAAUUUGUAUGAUUUGUACCGAAACUUACAGUUGUAAGAAAUAUAAGUUAGCACUAAGGUCCACCUUCAUUAAUUCAUACAACGUGAUUCAUACUGAAAUGUAGAAAUUUUAGAGAACAAAAGCAUGAAGAUCCACCCUUAAUUGUCACUGUCAAUGGGGUAAAACCACAUUGUACAAAAAAUUUAAAUAUAGUUAGUUUUCAGAUUGGUUUUCAAAGUAUACAACACUUAGUAUUGAACCUGGAACAUCCCUUAAACUCCUGAAUUGGAAUAGAAGAGUGGAUUGUGGGUGCAUUUUUCCUUUUUGUUUGGUGUAUUCUGCGAUGGUUUGUGAAAAGUAUAUGGUGGAAAGAGAAGGUGAACAGAGGGAAUGUUUGUUUAUGAUGUUGGAAUAGAAGGGAAUCCAGUCAGUUAAAGCUAGACAUGAUAAAACUGCUCUAAUGGGCAUGAAGUGUUCCCUGUGGAAAGAAAAGCGAGCCUUUUUACGAUAAUUAGCACUUCAGAGAAGCUUCCCGCUAGCAGCAGCUCAUUAUGAUGUCACAGUAGCACUGCAUAGUCAUAAUAGCACUAGUGAGGCUCAGUGUUCUAGAAACACACUUGUUAUGUCUGUUGGAAAACUGGCUGCAAUUGAAUUCAAACGAGAAGCCUUGUCUCCAAAGGCCAUUGUUUCUCAAAACUCAGAUAAGAUGACGCGAUAGAUUGAUAGUAGGAAUCAUUUGAGAUUCCUGCGUCAAUGAUUGGCUUGAUUUACUGAGGCGUCUAUAUGUCGUGUUGGUGUAUAACAAAAGUUGAAAGAAUGUACGUUUGAUUGUGUCGGAUGUCAUUUUAAAGGCUUGGAAAACCUGGGAUAUUUUAGGGAAUGUAUGUGUACUCGCUGUGAUUUAUGAAGUGCUUGAAAGGAGUUUGGAAGGUUUCAUUCAUCUUUUUCUGUGUUAAUUAGCAUUUUUGAUCAGAUGCAUCAGUGUUUGGUGUGAGGCGGCAGGGUGUGUUUACGUGUUCACUUUGAUGCGAACAAGUGCAGAAAGGGAACAUGCUGCGGCCGUCUGAUCUCUUGUUGUUUUCUGUCCCUGUCUCUGCUUGGCUGUCUGCACUAAUUAGCAUUCUUCUCCACUUAAUUAACAGACACAAAAAACAGCACGUGAACAGCCUUUGAACUCGUCAUUAUUAUUUCAAAAAAAUACUUUUAAAUCAAUGUACUGCUCAAGUGAUUUUCUCAAGCAAAAUUGAAUUCUCAGACAGGAAGUGAAGGUGCCUAAACUAAUAUGCCACAAUGUUAUUUUGUUACAGACCAUUGGAUGUAAGGAAAAUUUUCAAACCUCUCUUGUCAUAAGAAAUGAUACUAUGAUAGCCUUUCAAUGAUAGUAUUCAGCGCUCAACCAAAAUCUACAUUUUGUCUGCAGCUUCAGCUCUACAGCUUCAGCUUUUUAUUUUUCUGCAUUUUUGUUUUGUGUGUUUUUUUUGUUUUUUUACUUUACGUAUUGUUUUUGUACCUUUUUAUGUUUACAUUGCAUUGUCCUAAAGGAAAACACAAUAAAAUGUAUCCUCCUU